GAGUUUGAUUCUGGCUCAGGCACGUAACGCUAGCGGCAGGCCUAACACAUGCAAGUCGAACGGUAAGGUCCCUUCGGGGAUACACGAGUGGCGCACGGGUGCGUAACGCGUAUACAACCUACCUCGAAGUGGGGGAUAGCCUCGGGAAACUGAGAUUAAUACCCCAUAGUACUACGGAAUCACCUGUUUCUGUAGUUAAAGCUCCGGCGCUUCGAGAUGGGUAUGCGUCUGAUUAGCUAGUUGGUGAGGUAACGGCUCACCAAGGCAACGAUCAGUAGCUGGUCUGAGAGGAUGAUCAGCCACACGGGAACUGAGACACGGUCCCGACUCCUACGGGAGGCAGCAGUGAGGAAUAUUGGACAAUGGACGCAAGUCUGAUCCAGCCAUGCCGCGUGGUGGAUGAAGGCCCUCCGGGUCGUAAACACCUUUUAUAUAGGACUAAUAAGGUGGUAUACUCACCGAUGCAGGUACUAUAUGAAUAAGCACCGGCUAACUACGUGCCAGCAGCCGCGGUAACACGUAGGGUGCAAGCGUUGUCCGGAUUUAUUGGGUUUAAAGGGUGCGUAGGCGGU
rnacentral:rRNA from 1 species